rnacentral:lncRNA from 1 species
GUUUAGGGCAAUUAUGUGGUAGACCAGUUGGGAAGUUAGCACCGACUUGGUGAGUGCGCAUUUUCCUGCGGGUGUAAUGUUUUGACCAUCCUACGGCGCAAGUCUCUUAGCUGCCUUGUCCUCAAGAAACUGAAAAUCGCUUGUCCGAAGUUGCCACACAGAUAGGGGUAGGCCCAGGUAUUUGAUUGGGAAGUAUGCCUGCUUAGCCAGAAGUGCAGUGAGAAUAGUGUCCAGGUCGAGCAGUCCACAUCGGAUUGGCACGACUAAGCUUUUCUCAAAAUUUGUGCGCAGGCCCGUGACGUCCCCGAAGCGAUUAAGCAUGGCAGCAAGAUUCUCAAUGUCUCCCCUAAUUGGGGCCAUGAAGACGGCCGCAUCAUCAGCAUAAAGAGAAGUGUGAAGGAUUGCUCUUCGCCCUCUGAUCUUGUGGAAGAGGCCAUGAGUCGUCGCCAGGUUGAGAAUUUGUUGAAGCGGAUCAAUAGCAAGGACGAACAGUAC